AGUGAACGCUGGCGGUAGGCCUAACACAUGCAAGUCGAACGGCAGCACAGUAAGAGCUUGCUCUUACGGGUGGCGAGUGGCGGACGGGUGAGGAAUACAUCGGAAUCUACUUUUUCGUGGGGGAUAACGUAGGGAAACUUACGCUAAUACCGCAUACGACCUACGGGUGAAAGCAGGGGAUCUUCGGACCUUGCGCGAUUGAAUGAGCCGAUGUCGGAUUAGCUAGUUGGCGGGGUAAAGGCCCACCAAGGCGACGAUCCGUAGCUGGUCUGAGAGGAUGAUCAGCCAAACUGGAACUGAGACACGGUCCAGACUCCUACGGGAGGCAGCAGUGGGGAAUAUUGGACAAUGGGCGCAAGCCUGAUCCAGCCAUACCGCGUGGGUGAAGAAGGCCUUCGGGUUGUAAAGCCCUUUUGUUAGGAAAGAAAAGCAGCAGGUUAAUACCCCGCUGUUCUGACGGUACCCAAAGAAUAAGCACCGGCUAACUUCGUG
rnacentral:rRNA from 1 species